UCUCUUUCAUUUUUAAUCCAAAAAUUAUGGGACCAAUUGCAUUGUUUCCCAAAUAAAUUCUAGUUUCUAUUUCUGAUUUUUUAUUUUGUCAUUUGAUAUUUUUUGUGAAUUUUCACUUUUCUGGUUAUUUUUAAUUCAUUUUAAAUAGUUUUUGAUAUUCAAAAAAUACAAAAAUAUUUUCCUAACCUACUUGAAUGAUGAUA
rnacentral:lncRNA from 1 species